CUCAACAUGGGAACUGCAUUGGUGACUGGCAGUGCUAGAGUAUGGCAGAGGGGGUGUAGAAUUCCACGUGUAGCAGUGAAAUGCGUAGAGAUGUGGAGGAAUACCGAUGGCGAAGGCAGCCCCUUGGGCCAAUACUGACGCUCAUGCACGAAAGCGUCGGGAGCAAACAGGAUUCGAUAUCGUGGUAGUCCACGCCGUAAACGAUGUCAACUAGUUGUUGGGGGAUUCAUUUCCUUAGUAACGUAGCUAACGCGUGAACUUGACCGCGUGGGGAGUACGGUCGCAAGAUUAAAACUCAAAGGAAUUGGCGCGGACCCGCACAAGCGGUGGAUGAUGUGGAUUAAUUCGAUGCAACGCGAAAAACCUUACCUACCCUUGACAUGGUCGGAAUCCUGCUGAGAGGCGGGAGUGCUGGAAAGAGAACCGGCGCACAGGUGCUGCAUGGCUGUUGUCAGCUCGUGUCGUGAGAUGUUGGGUUAAAUCCCGCAACGACCGCAACCUUUUUCCCUAGUUGCUACGCAAGAGCACUUUAAGGAGACUGCCGGUGACAAACCGGAGGAAGGUGGGGAUGACGUCAAGUCCUCAUGGCCCUUAUGGGUAGGGCUUCACACGUCAUACAAUGGUCGGAACAGAGGGUUGCCACCCCGCGAGGGGGAGCUAAUCCCAGAAAACCGAUCGUAGUCCGGAUUGCACUCUGCAACUCGAGUGCAUGAAGCUGGAAUCGCUAGUAAUCGCGGAUCAGCAUGCCGCGGUGAAUACGUUCCCGGGUCUUGUACACACCGCCCGUCACACCAUGGGAGUGGGUUUUACCAGAAGUGGCUAGUCUAACCGCAAGGAGGACGGUCACCACGGUAGGAUUCAUGACUGGGGUGAAGUCGAACAAGAGCCUCGGCCUA
rnacentral:rRNA from 2 species